rnacentral:lncRNA from 1 species
UGUUUAUUGAUGUUUAUUGCAUGUCGUGAUAGUUUUAUAUAAAUAUAUGAUUGGAACUUAAAAAAUCCCACCAUAACUAGAUAAAAACAUGAUAUACACAGUCGGAUAUGGUGUGAGCAAGUAUGAUAUUGAAGAUGCAGAGCAGCGGGGCAUGCGGCAUGAUGGCAAUAAUGCCACAUAAGUUUCUUUUGAACCCUUUUGAAAAUCUCAUUUUUAUCAUUUACUUAGCUAAAACCAAUUCGUCAUUCAGAACACAAUUUUGCAGAAAUAUAGAUGAGAAGGUAUAGUUUUAGCAAGGAUUUGUUUAUCGAAAUCCGUGAUUGUAAGUGAAACAG